UGGACGAAAGUCUGACCCAGCGACGCCGCGUGCGGGAUGAAGGCCUUCGGGUUGUAAACCGCUUUCAGCAGGGAAUAAGCGCAAGUGAAGGUACCUGCAGAAGAAGCACCGGCUAACUAUGUGCCAGCAGCCGCGGUAAUACAUAGGGUGCAAGCGUUGUCCGGAAUUAUUGGGCGUAAAGAGCUCGUAGGUGGUUUGUUACGUCGGUUGUGAAAUUCAGGGGCUCAACCCCUGACUUGCAGCCGAUACGGGCAAGCUAGAGUUUGGUAGGGGAGACUGGAAUUCCUGGUGUAGCGGUGGAAUGCGCAGAUAUCAGGAGGAACACCGAUGGCGAAGGCAGGUCUCUGGGCCAAUACUGACACUGAGGAGCGAAAGCGUGGGGAGCGA
rnacentral:rRNA from 1 species